rnacentral:rRNA from 1 species
UAAUACGGAGGGUGCAAGCGUUAUCCGGAUUCACUGGGUUUAAAGGGUGCGUAGGAGGGCAGGGAAGUCCGUGGUGAAAUCUCCGAGCUUAACUCGGAAACUGCCGUGGAUACUCUCUGUCUUGAAUCCCGUGGAGAUGAGCGGAAUAUGUCAUGUAGCGGUGAAAUGCUUAGAUAUGACAUAGAACACCAAUUGCGAAGGCAGCUCGUUACACGAAGAUUGACUCUGAGGCACGAAAGCGUGGGGAUCAAACAGGAUUAGAUACCCUGGUAGUCCACGCCCUAAACUAUGGAUACUCGACAUACGCGAUACACUGUGUGUGUCUGAGCGAAAGCAUUAAGUAUCCCACCUGGGAAGUACGACCGCAAGGUUG